CCUACGGGCGGCAGCAGUGAGGAAUAGUGGUCAAUGGACGAGAGUCUGAACCAGCCAAGUAGCGUGAAGGAUGACUGCCCGAUGGGUUGUAAACUUCUUUUAUAAAGGAAUAAAACGAGGCACGUGUGCCUGUUGGCAUGUACUUGAUGAAUAAGGAUCGGCUAACUCCGUGCCAGCAGCCGCGGUAAUACGGAGGAGCCGAGCGUUAUCCGGAUUUAUUGGGUUUAAAGGGAGCGUAGAUGGGUUGUUAAGUCCGUUGUGAAAGUUUGCGGCUCAACCGUAAAAUUGCAAUUGAUACUGGCCGUCUUGAGUACAGUUGCGGUAGGCGGACUUCGUGGUGUAGCGG
rnacentral:rRNA from 1 species